UGCCCGCUGCAGGAGGCUCCCACCGAGCCAUGGCCGGGUGCCGGCAGCACCCAGGAACGUUCUUGUGACUGUGCUGCCGCCGAUGCCCAGACACUGCGGCUGGGAGCCAGGCCGCCCCGGAAAAAGUUCCCGCAAUCAUGUAGCAGCAGCGUUUCAGGGAUUAUGGAAAAUGACAACACACGUCUGGCACCAGGCUUCCCCCUUAAUGGCCCUGUUCCGGCACCAGCGAUUGAGGUGGUUCUCCGGGGUCACCUGGGGCCCGGUGGCGUCACAGUCUGUGCCUGAUGGCCUUCCAGUAGUCACACCGCCUCUUCCGUGUGGCCCAAGGACCCCGGACCUCACUCUGCCCCUGGGGACUCGCCCUUCCCACGGAGCGCCUCCAGGCAUUAUGUUUGGGGCUUUAUCACUAUGAUCCUAAUUAAUCCGAAUGUCACCCGAGGAAGCACGCACCGUCACUGCCUUUACAGAUGAGGAGUCUGAGCCUUAGAGUAGCUUUUAAAAAGUCCUGAGUUUCGGGGUUCCUGCCAGUGUUGUUAAGUUGGAUGUCAGGCCCGGGGCAGCCCUCCGACUAUCGCAGCCAUAAUUCUGGAGCCCAGAGGGAGCAAAGCCAGGCCUCCCAGCCGGCAGCAAUUUAUUACAGGCGCCACAAGAAAACUACACAGGAACUGACCGUGCCCCAGUCCCUGCGCUGAGCCUUGGAGCGCCUGAGAUGACCAGGACGUGGUCUCCACCUUAAAGAACCCGCAGAGCAGAGAUGGAGGGGACGCUCCGUGCACGCCGCUUUAAGCAUAUGCGUGUGUAUGAGGGAGACAGAUGAGAGCCUUUCAGUGCACAUCCGGAGGGCACGCAUCGAAGAGAGGAGCGAUCAGCUGGGGGUGCUCACUGCUUAGUCACCAGGGGGAUAGUCACUCAGCAGCACGCUGGCCACCAGAGAAUUCUGGCCAUUCUAGUUAAACGUUUUCCCCCGCACGGUAGAUAUUUUUAAGGCAUACCCACCUGGCCUGUUGAUUUAAAGUAGGCUAUAAAAGAGUUUCUGAGGCUGAACUGCCCAUCACUGAGAGGCACGGAAAUCCCGCAGAGGAGGCUCAAGAUGGUCCUUCUCCGCAUCCACCUGAUCAGAAUUCUGCUUUGGCACAUCCAGCAUCUCAAAAUGAAUGUUGGAAAGAGGAGCCUUUAUUAAGAACUCUCGGGCUCAAUGGGAAGGAGACACACAGUCCCAUGAGGCGAUGGCCAAAGACCUCAAGAGCCAUUUCACCAAAGAGACGUAUGGACGGCAGGUCUGCACACGACGCGGUGCUCACCGCCACGAGCCGGGGGGGGACACGCAAAUCACACCCGGAACGAGAUCUCCCCACAGCCCUGUCAGCAUGGCCGAAAUAAAAACCAGCGACAACACCAAA